rnacentral:lncRNA from 1 species
GGUGCGUUUGGGAACCCACUUCCCAAAGCCCCUUGAGAGUCUAAAGCUCCUUGGGCCAAGUAAAGGGUGUUUGGCAAAAAAAUUUAAACCCCCAUUCUCCAAAUGCCAGCCUUGUGAAGGCUGAAAGCCCAAGGCAGGUCCACCCCUGCCUUGAGCUUUCGGCUUUUUCGGCAUGCCCACGCGGGCACUGUUCAUGUUUUUUUAUUUCCAAAAUUACCCUUACGAACUUUUUGUUUUACCGUCUUUUGCCCUUGUGAGGACACUGUUCGUCUUCACCAUCUGUUCUUCGUGACUGCGAGGGGCCGGUGACGGCCAGAGGGACGCCGGCGUGAUCGCGACAACCUACGCGAUCGUCGUCGGAGAGUCGGGUGACCUCCACGAGUCGCGGUGACUCAACGACGAUGGCGAGGGGCCGCCCCGGCGAGUCGCAGAG